UGUAUUUGUUGUGAUGAUUGUGAUUCAUGGUAUCACAGGAGUUGUGUAGGACUGGAGGAUGAGAAACUGUGGGAAGAGUUAACUAGUGAAGAUAGCAAGUACAUCUGUCCACUAUGUUUAUAGAUGAAAUGGUUCACAGCCACUACCAGCUGACCCCCCUGUAUUACUUUUCCUUGAAAUUGGAGUUUCCCCAAGAAUGAUAGAGUUCAUGCUGCUACAAUAAUGCUGAAGUUCAAUGGUGCCUUUUAAUUCAGCAGACUUUGUGGCAUCUGACAAGGACUUUUGAUAACAAAUCAUCAGAUGCAGCAUAUCCUUAUCCAAGACUUCCUCGGCCAAAUGGUUCCUCAUUUUAGACUCAGAGGUCUUCCUGAAUGGCCAUUUCGUCGAUGAUGAGCCCUCCUUCAUAACCCUCUGUGGGCAG